GAUGAACGCUAGCUACAGGCUUAACACAUGCAAGUCGAGGGGAAACGAUAGAGAAAGCUUGCUUUUUCUAGGCGUCGACCGGCGCACGGGUGAGUAACGCGUAUCCAACCUGCCCAUCACUUGGGGAUAACCUUGCGAAAGUAAGACUAAUACCCAAUGACGUCUCUAGAAGACAUCUGAAGGAGAUUAAAGAUUUAUCGGUGAUGGAUGGGGAUGCGUCUGAUUAGCUUGUUGGCGGGGUAACGGCCCACCAAGGCGACGAUCAGUAGGGGUUCUGAGAGGAAGGCCCCCCACAUUGGAACUGAGACACGGUCCAAACUCCUACGGGAGGCAGCAGUGAGGAAUAUUGGUCAAUGGACGAGAGUCUGAACCAGCCAAGUAGCGUGCAGGAUGACGGCCCUAUGGGUUGUAAACUGCUUUUAUAAGGGAUAAAGUGAGUCUCGUGAGACUUUUUGCAUGUACCUUAUGAAUAAGGACCGGCUAAUUCCGUGCCAGCAGCCG
rnacentral:rRNA from 1 species